rnacentral:rRNA from 1 species
AUGAACGCUGGCGGCGUGCCUAAUACAUGCAAGUCGCGCGAACAGACGAGGAGCUUGCUCCUCUGACGUUAGCGGCGGACGGGUGAGUAACACGUGGAUAACCUACCUAUAAGACUGGGAUAACUUCGGGAAGCCGGAGCUAAUACCGGAUAAUAUAUUGAACCGCAUGGUUCAAUAGUGAAAGACGGUUUUGCUGUCACUUAUAGAUGGAUCCGCGCCGCAUUAGCUAGUUGGUAAGGUAACGGCUUACCAAGGCAACGAUGCGUAGCCGACCUGAGAGGGUGAUCGGCCACACUGGAACUGAGACACGGUCCAGACUCCUACGGGAGGCAGCAGUAGGGAAUCUUCCGCAAUGGGCGAAAGCCUGACGGAGCAACGCCGCGUGAGUGAUGAAGGUCUUCGGAUCGUAAAACUCUGUUAUUAGGGAAGAACAAAUGUGUAAGUAACUAUGCACGUCUUGACGGUACCUAAUCAGAAAGCCACGGCUAACUACGUG